GACGAACGCUGGCGGCGUGCUUAACACAUGCAAGUCGAACGGAAAGGCCCUGCUUUUGUGGGGUGCUCGAGUGGCGAACGGGUGAGUAACACGUGAGUAACCUGCCCUUGACUUUGGGAUAACUUCAGGAAACUGGGGCUAAUACCGGAUAGGAGCUCCUGCUGCAUGGUGGGGGUUGGAAAGUUUCGGCGGUUGGGGAUGGACUCGCGGCUUAUCAGCUUGUUGGUGGGGUAGUGGCUUACCAAGGCCUUGACGGGUAGCCGGCCUGAGAGGGUGACCGGCCACAUUGGGACUGAGAUACGGACCAGACUCCUACGGGAGGCAGCAGUGGGGAAUAUUGCACAAUGGGCGGAAGCCUGAUGCAGCAACGCCGCGUGCGGGAUGACGGCCUUCGGGUUGUAAACCGCUUUCGCAUGUGACGAAGCGUGAGUGACGGUAAUGGGUAAAGAAGCACCGGCUAACUACGUG
rnacentral:rRNA from 1 species